rnacentral:rRNA from 1 species
UACAGAGGGCUCAAGCGUUGUUCGGAUUCAUUGGGCGUAAAGGGUGCGUAGGCGGCGCGGUAAGUCGGGUGUGAAAUCUUGGAGCUUAACUCCGAAACUGCAUUCGAUACUGCCGUGCUUGAGGACUGGAGAGGAGACUGGAAUUUACGGUGUAGCGGUGAAAUGCGUAGAUAUCGGAAGGAAGACCAGUGGCGAAGGCGGGUCUCUGGACAGUUCCUGACGCUGAGGCACGAAGGUCAGGGGAGCAAACGGG